rnacentral:rRNA from 1 species
AGUACGGCGAGUGAAGCGGGAAGAGCUCAAAUUUGAAAUCUGGUGGCCUCAGGUCAUCCGAGUUGUAAUCUAUAGAAGUGUUUUCCGUGCUGGCUCAUGUACAAGUCCCUUGGAACAGGGCGUCAUAGAGGGUGAGAAUCCCGUCCUUGACAUGAACUACCAGUGCUCUGUGAUACAUUUUCAACGAGUCGAGUUGUUUGGGAAUGCAGCUCAAAAUGGGUGGUAAAUUCCAUCUAAAGCUAAAUAUUGGCGAGAGACCGAUAGCGAACAAGUACCGUGAGGGAAAGAUGAAAAGCACUUUGGAAAGAGAGUUAAACAGUAUGUGAAAUUGUUAAAAGGGAAACGAUUGAAGUCAGUCGUGCUCUUUGGAUUCAGCCGGUUCUGCCGGUGUACUUCCUUUGAGUGGGGUCAACAUCAGUUUUGAUCGCUGGAUAAAGGCUGGAGGAACGUAGCACCCUCGGGUGAACUUAUAGCCUCCUGUCACAUACAGUGGUUGGGACUGAGGAACGCAGCACGCCUUUAUGGCCGGGAUUCGUCCACGUACGUGCUUAGGAUGUUGACAUAAUGGCUUUAAACGACCCGUCUUGAAACACGG